UACGUAGGUGGCAAGCGUUAUCCGGAUUUACUGGGCGUAAAGGGCGUGCAGGCGGUUUGUUAAGUGCAGGGUGAAAGCUCCCGGCUCAACUGGGAGAGGUCCUUGCAUACUGGCAGACUUGAGGGAGGCAGAGGAAAGUGGAAUUCCCGGUGUAGUGGUGAUAUGCGUAGAUAUCGGGAGGAACACCUGUGGCGAAGGCGGCUUCUUGGACCAAUACUGACACUAAAGUGCGAAAGCGUGGGGAGCAAACAGG
rnacentral:rRNA from 1 species